rnacentral:lncRNA from 1 species
CUCACACACUUACAUCAAUUGACACACUCACCAAUCAAACCUAUAAAUCAUACUAUAAAUUCUAACUCUAAUUUCCUAACUUAGCAACCACAAUUUCACCAUAUUUAGAAUCAAAAAGUGUGUAUGUUAUUCAUCACAGUUAAGGAAACUCAGAGCAUACUGAAGAGCUACACCGAGCCACAACCUUCACUGUUUUCCUUCACCCUUCAUUGACACCAUCUUCAUUUUCAUUUAACACCGCUUAAAACAACCUUAAAGGCACAUAACAAGCCAAUUUAGAAGGAAAUAGAAUAGAAUAAGAUCAGAAGAAGGGAAAGGAAGAAAAGACAAACAAGAAAACAAGAAAAAAAGAAAGAAAAAACAGAAGAAAAUCAUCUCACCAGAUUCUGGGUUCACCUCACCGAAAAACUCAAGGUGCGACUGAAAUCUUCAUCGGAAUCUGUAAAUUCCAGAUUCCGAUUUUGUUAGCUAUUGUCAUUUUUGCAUUUUUCUCCCUUAAUUUUGCUUCUUGCAUAUUCUAUGAGUCUUCCCCCUUGCAAUUUUUUCCAAUACCUGUUUAUUGUAGCUAGUGGUAUAGACUCGAUAGUUAGGGUUUUUAUGUUUAAAUUUAAAAUUAUUGUUGAUUAUGUAGGUUUGAGGGUGAUUCAUGUAGAUAUUAUUGUAUAAUAAUAUCUUUCUGUGAUGGUUGUAUGCUUUUCAUUUACUUUUAGGAAUUUUUUUUCUUAUUCAUCAAGAACUUAAUGAACGUGAAUGAAUGUUCAUAGAGAGGGAGAAGAGAGUCAAGAGAUAGUAGGUUUUAGAAGAGAGAAAUGAAAGGAGAAGUGAGGUCGGGUGGGAUUGAUCUCUCCGCCUCUCUAUUUUGGUUUUAAGGGAGUUUUUUUCAAACUCUAGGCCUUGGGCCCUUAACCCAAUCUAUCACUUUUUUCCCACUAGACACCCCCUAUUAGUGUCUUGUGUAGUAGAUUGGGACUUAUGCUUAAAUCCCAUUAGUGUUUGCUUGACCACACCUCUUUUUCGAUCUCACCCCCUGUUGGUGUGAGAUAUUUAAAGUAUUGGACCUUUGUUGGGUCCUGGGCGUGCCACCUCCCCUUUUCAUGUUGGUACCUCUGCUUUGUUUGAUUUUUAUUUAUUUAUUCAUUUAUGUUGGGACUUUAAGCCCAUUGUUUUAUUUUUUUUUGCUGAUACCCCUCUUAUAUUAUGGUGUUUUAAUUUUUC